rnacentral:lncRNA from 1 species
ACGUAUGUUAUUCAGCAGUAUCACAUAUAUAAAAGAUACAUAACAUAUAUACAGUAAAUAUGUUCAUAAGCAUUUUUGUUAAAUUAAAUGAAGUAAAUUGUACCUCAUACCGACAUCAUCUCUCGAAAAAAGUCCCUCAUCGGUUAGCCUUCACUGACCUUGCAUUGGUCUGAAGGCGUAACUUGUAAACCAUUGUCAUAAGCAUAUCAUCCCUUAAUUUAAGCACCGAAAAAUACAUAAAAGCAAAUAAAAAGGAGAUACGUUACCUUACGGAUUCUCCUCGCCUCAACCGCAUGACCUACGGUUCCAAUGGUCACCUUCUUCACCCAUACUGUGAUUCUCGCAUUUGGGGAUAUUAGGAAUCCCUUGAGCACCGCAACCUCGUCCAGAAAUCUCGCAUGCAGGAGAGACAUAAGGGUAAGUCAACAUCCCCANAUCCCCAAAUCAAUCCUAACACUUUGGGAAAUAAUUAGUCGAGGAGAAUAGCUGAAUCCCUACCUUACUUUGGUGACCGCCGUGAAAAUAAGAACCUCGAAUGGGAAGACCAUCGCGACCCGAACCUCGAGCCACCGUACCCCACCAUAACCACCGCGUCAUCACCAUUAAAUGAUGAAGGAAGGUAAUAAGAACGAGGAAGAGGAUUACCUCUUGAUGCCACGGUAGUCUUGGCUGAGGACCGCCGAGAACGGCUUCAUCCCAGCCUUCGCAAGCCUCGCCGCCGCCCCUCUGCC